UCUUAAAAUUUAAUUUAUUUUUAAAAUUAAAUUAAAUUUUUAAUUGGGGUGAUUAUAAAAUUUGAUUAACUUUUAUAUAUUUAAUUCUUAAAUAAAUGAUUAUUUGAUAUUAAUUAUAAAUAUUUAGAUUAAGU
rnacentral:rRNA from 1 species